GACGAACGCUGGCGGCGUGCUUAACACAUGCAAGUCGAACGGUGAUCUUGGGAGCUUGCUCCUGGGUGAUCAGUGGCGAACGGGUGAGUAACACGUGAGUAACCUGCCCCUGACUCUGGAAUAACUUCGGGAAACCGAAGCUAAUACCGGAUAUGACACAGAGCCGCAUGGUUUCUGUGUGGAAAGUCUUUUCGGUUGGGGAUGGACUCGCGGCCGAUCAUCUUGUUGGUGAGGUAAUGGCUCACCAAGGCGACGACGGGUAGCCGGCCUGAGAGGGCGACCGGCCACACUGGGACUGAGACACGGCCCAGACUCCUACGGGAGGCAGCAGUGGGGAAUAUUGCACAAUGGGCGAAAGCCUGAUGCAGCGACGCCGCGUGAGGGAUGAAGGCCUUCGGGUUGUAAACCUCUUUCAGUAGGGAAGAAGCGCAAGUGACGGUACCUACAGAAGAAGCACCGGCUAACUACGUGCCAGCCGCCGCGGUAAGAC
rnacentral:rRNA from 1 species